CGGAGUGAGUAAUGUCUGGGAAACUGCCUGAUGGAGGGGGAUAACUACUGGAAACGGUAGCUAAUACCGCAUAACGUCGCAAGACCAAAGAGGGGGACCUUCGGGCCUCUUGCCAUCGGAUGUGCCCAGAUGGGAUUAGCUAGUAGGUGGGGUAACGGCUCACCUAGGCGACGAUCCCUAGCUGGUCUGAGAGGAUGACCAGCCACACUGGAACUGAGACACGGUCCAG
rnacentral:rRNA from 1 species